CAUCAAAAUCCCAGUGGGACGACAUUUUGUGUAAUACUCAACCAGCAUGUCUGCUGCCAACAACCAUACUACCUUCAAAGUCACUUAAGUCUCUUGUCUUCUUCUUCCAACUUCCUCUAAACCAUGUCUACACGCUUAAGUGUAUUAGGUGUCUAUGUGAUUGGCUCUUAGAUAUUUGCUUUAAUAGUCAGUUGCAUAGUUGUACCUUAUGACACUGAGAGUAUAUUUGCUUGUCACAAAAGUACAAUUAACAUUACCCCAUGAAUUUUAUGUGAUUUAUAACAUGUUUUUUGUACAGCUGUUUACCAAGUCAGCUGUUAUUAGUUAAUUGGUAAUAAUUUGUAAAUUAUGUGUAUACUUACAAGGAUUUAUGCUGUAUAAUAAUUGAACAAUUACUGUACUUGUAAUAACAUUUUUAUGGCCCCCUUGGUGUAGGAAUUGCAACUGGAAAUGUUUUGCAUGAAGGUAUAAGGUUCGCACAUUUUCAGGGAUUAAAAUUCUCUGUCACUAUGACGGAUUUCCAUGAAUUGGUCUGCCAAAAGGCAGGCUUAGCACUGACACUAAAUGCUACAUAUAAAAUUUACCACGUUCAAAACCUUCAAACAUUGAUUUUUAAAAUAAUGUCUCUGUUUUUGUUUUGUUUGCUUUUUUGUUUUUGUUUUCUCCUGGGAGCAAACCCCUGUCUGUUCUUCUGGGAUUCUGGGACAACUACAGUAUAAUGAUAAAUUAUUGUCUGUUAAUGGGAAAGGUUUAUGCUAGAUGUUGUGAUGACUGUGAUAAAGCUUAAACCUUGAUAGAAUUAUACCCAUAAGUGGUUUUGCUGUUUGCACAUUAAGCAGCAACAUGAUAACAGUUCUUUAUCCAUGGUGGGGUUCCUUUAUUUUCUUCUUUUUUUAAUUACAGUUUUUGUCUCUCUCCUGUGCCCACACACACAACCACUUUGGUCUUUGUUUCAGAAAAACAGAUUUUCUUUGAUCUUUUAGCCAUUACUCUGGUGAGGAACACAAACUACAAAGGGAUGUUUUGUUACCCUAUGGUUAAUUGAGGGUGUUUCUGAAUGCAAAUGGCCAUGAAUGUGCACAAGCAUGGUGUUUUUAGAAUGUGUAGGACUGACAGCAGUUGAUACUGAUAUGCAUAUUAACGGAUAUGGAUUAUUGUUUUUUGUUUGUUUUUGUUUUUUACUUACACACAUUAAAUUUUGCAUUUAGAACUGAGGUCUUCAACUCAUUCCAGAAAGGGCUGAGACUGGUUUUCUUUGCAGCCAUCCUGUCCACCAGCUGGUUUCACUGAUUAACGUCACUUUGAGCAGAUGGAAUUAGUUGAUCAGUGAAAUCACCAGGUGGUUGCAAAGAAAACCAUCCUCUCAGCCCUUUCUGGAAUGAGUUGAAAACCUCUGAUUUAGAACCUUUUCUGAGCACAGUUUGAUGAGUAGCCUGGGUUUUUUUUUUUUCUUCUUUUUUAAAUCAGUGCUCUAUAGAUGUUUUUUUUUUUGUUGUUUUUUUUUGCUUGGGACAGAAACAAUUUUAAAUGGUCAAGUAUUACUUCAGAACACUAACACUGGCCUUUGGCUAAAUAGCUGUACAGUAUAAGCAUAUAGACCAGCUAAAAACUCAAACUGCGGAAGAAGGCUGCAGAAUGAGCAUUGAUGAAUUCAAAAGAAGAAAGAGUUCAGCAGGCCACAGGUGGAUAACCAUUUUUAUUGUGUAGUGUUUGUAAGUGAAUAAUUUGUUUAGUAGUGCAUUUGAUUUUUCUCAGCUGAAAUGUUUUCAUUAGCUUGCAGAGGUCAACCUUGUUAAACUAGUACAAUAGCAUACACAAUGUUGGGUGUUUAAGGUGUCACAGCAGUAGCCAGUAUAAAUAUUUUCUGUAUUUAAUAAAACGGCACUGAAACAAAUCUUACUUUAAAUGUGAAACAGCUAUUUAAAUUAAGGCGUCACAUGUUCAGUGUGACUUAUUUAUAUAUAUAUAUAUUUUUUCUAUCAGUGAUGUACUUCAUAUUUUGACCAUCUGUUUAUGUGAAAACAUGUUUUGUGAUUUUUUAAAAA